rnacentral:tRNA from 1 species
AAAGGCUUUAGCUUAAUAAAAGUACUUGAGUUGCAUUCAUGAGAUAUGGAAUAAUAGUCCAUAAGUCUUA